CGCGGCUCGUCGGCGGGCAUCAGGCCGCGCGCACGGCACAUGGCCACGAGCGCGUGUACGGCACGCCUCGCCAUGGCCAUGCCCGUGUCGGUCGGUCGUUCUUCGGCUCUCGCCGCCGCCAGGACCGAGCGCGGCGUGGGAAACGGCAAGAGCACGUCAGAGAUGGCGGGCGCCGCGCGUUCGACGGCACGCAACGCGCGCCAAAACCACACAUAGGUGGCGGCCAGGUCCCUAGAGAGACGCUCGAUGGUGGCAUCAUCGGCCGCCUCGUCGGGCAUGCGGAAGCGCGCCCGCGACAACAGCACCGCCACGAAUCGAUGCUGCGCCGGUGGCAUAGUCCGACGGCGCGCAAGCCUCCUGCAUGCGAUGAGCACGCUGCGAAUCAAUGAGCGCACCGGCAGCGUAGGCCUAUCGCUCGCGCCAUUUCUGGCGUCGUUGUUGUCAUUGCUGCCGUCACUGUUGUUGCUGUUGUUGUUGUGAUUGUUGGUAUCGAUAUUAUUGUUAUUGCUAGUGUCGCCGUUGCCGCUCAUGGUGGCGAAUGGGAAAAAAACACACGCCGUCCUUGCAGGAAACAAAAAAAC
rnacentral:lncRNA from 1 species